rnacentral:rRNA from 1 species
CCUGUCUGAACAUGGGGGGACCAUCCUCCAAGGCUAAAUACUCCUGACUGACCGAUAGUGAACCAGUACCGUGAGGGAAAGGCGAAAAGAACCCCUGUGAGGGGAGUGAAAUAGAACCUGAAACCGUGUACGUACAAGCAGUAGGAGCACCUUCGUGGUGUGACUGCGUACCUUUUGUAUAAUGGGUCAGCGACUUAAUUUUAGUAGCAAGGUUAACCGUAUAGGGGAGCCGUAGGGAAACCGAGUCUUAACUGGGCGUACAGUUGCUAGGAUUAGACCCGAAACCAGGUGAUCUAGCCAUGGGCAG